GAUGAACGCUGGCGGCGUGCCUAAUACAUGCAAGUCGAGCGAACGGACGAGAAGCUUGCUUCUCUGAUGUUAGCGGCGGACGGGUGAGUAACACGUGGAUAACCUACCUAUAAGACUGGGAUAACUUCGGGAAGCCGGAGCUAAUACCGGAUAAUAUUUUGAACCGCAUGGUUCAAAAGUGAAAGACGGUCUUGCUGUCACUUAUAGAUGGAUCCGCGCUGCAUUAGCUAGUUGGUAAGGUAACGGCUUACCAAGGCAACGAUGCAUAGCCGACCUGAGAGGGUGAUCGGCCACACUGGAACUGAGACACGGUCCAGACCCCUACGGGAGGCAGCAGUAGGGAAUCUUCCGCAAUGGGCGAAAGCCUGACGGAGCAACGCCGCGUGAGUGAUGAAGGUCUUCGGAUCGUAAAACUCUGUUAUUAGGGAAGAACAUAUGUGUAAGUAACUGUGCACAUCUUGACGGUACCUAAUCAGAAAGCCACGGCUAACUACGUG
rnacentral:rRNA from 1 species